rnacentral:rRNA from 1 species
UACGUAGGGCGCAAGCGUUGUCCGGAAUUAUUGGGCGUAAAGAGCUCGUAGGCGGUUUGUCGCGUCUGCUGUGAAAACCUAAGGCUCAACCUCGAGCCUGCAUUCGAUACUGGGCGGCUAGAGUCUGGUAGGGGGAUCUGGAAUUCCUGGUGUAGCGGUGAAAUGCGCAGAGUGUCAGGAGGAACACCGGUGGCGAAGGCGGGUCUCUGGGCCGUAACUGACGCUGAGGAGCGAAAGCGCGGGGAGCGAACAGG